GUAUUUAAAACGCUAUGUGAAUAAAAUGGACAGAAACAGUCAAGUGAAAUUAAAUAGAUCCUUAAGGACUAAUGAAGCUUUUUGUUCUUUGUGGUCUAUCAGAUGGAAGAGGCACUUCCAGGUCCCUAUGAUUUACUUGGAAAAGUCCUCAUGCUUAUUGUGAAGAAGGCUCCAAAAGUGGAAAUUCUUUUUAAAAACGUGUGGUGCACAUAAAAAUUAUCUCUAGAAUAGCCAGAAGACUCCAUGGAGAAAAUGGACAGACAACCGAAUGAAGCAAAAUAUAUCCUCAAGUAAUAAUGCAGCUUUUUGUCCUCUGUUCUCAUGCUGAGUGAAAGAAGAAUAACAGGUCCCUAUGAGUGAGUUAACUACUCUUCCUCCAGACUGUGAACAAGCCUCCACGAGGUUCUUUGUGCGUGGUCAAAGGGUCAUUUUGCUGUGAAUCUGAAGCCAAGCGAGAAGACAACCAGCAUACAAACUGACAAAAUAAAGUGAGAUAAUUUUUAGAGAACGUAGUAUGGCGUGGUGGUUAACAGAAGGUUAUGGAAUCAGAUUUCCUGGGUUUGAACAUGACCUGGGAAAUUUUUUAAAACUCCCUAUGCCACAUUUUCUUCAUCUAUAAAAACAGUAAUGAUAGUACUUAUCUCAUAAAGUCAUUG
rnacentral:lncRNA from 1 species